GAGAAAAGGGACUUAGCUAGUGAAAGUUGUAGUGUGUGGGACGUUGUCUCACAGUUGCUGACAGUAAACUUCAUUUCUCCUCUGACCAAGGUUCUAGCUGGCCAGCCAGACUUCGUUCUCAUUGAGUCGUCAACGACGAAUUUUUGCUUGGGGUGUUCUUGCUUUUUAU